AACGCUAGCUACAGGCUUAACACAUGCAAGUCGAGGGGAAACGACAUCGAAAGCUUGCUUUUGAUGGGCGUCGACCGGCGCACGGGUGAGUAACGCGUAUCCAACCUGCCCACCACUUGGGGAUAACCUUGCGAAAGUAAGACUAAUACCCAAUGAUAUCUCUAGAAGGCAUCUGAAAGAGAUUAAAGAUUUAUCGGUGAUGGAUGGGGAUGCGUCUGAUUAGCUUGUUGGCGGGGUAAUGGCCCACCAAGGCAACGAUCAGUAGGGGUUCUGAGAGGAAGGUCCCCCACAUUGGAACUGAGACACGGUCCAAACUCCUACGGGAGGCAGCAGUGAGGAAUAUUGGUCAAUGGACGAGAGUCUGAACCAGCCAAGUAGCGUGCAGGAUGACGGCCCUAUGGGUUGUAAACUGCUUUUAUAAGGGAAUAAAGUUAGUCUCGUGAGACUUUUUGCAUGUACCUUAUGAAUAAGGACCGGCUAAUUCCGUGCCAGCAGCCGCGGUAAUACGGAAGGUCCGGGCGUUAUCCGGAUUUAUUGGGUUUAAAGGGAGCGUAGGCCGGAGAUUAAGCGUGUUGUGAAAUGUAGAUGCUCAACAUCUGCACUGCAGCGCGAACUGGUUUCCUUGAGUACGCACAAAGUGGGCGGAAUUCGUGGUGUAGCGGUGAAAUGCUUAGAUAUCACGAAGAACUCCGAUUG
rnacentral:rRNA from 1 species